rnacentral:rRNA from 1 species
GUAGGUGGCAAGCGUUGUCCGGAAUUAUUGGGCGUAAAGCGCGCGCAGGUGGUUCUUUAAGUCUGAUGUGAAAGCCCCCGGCUCAACCGGGGAGGGUCAUUGGAAACUGGGGAACUUGAGUGCAGGAGAGGAAAGUGGAAUUCCACGUGUAGCGGUGAAAUGCGUAGAUAUGUGGAGGAACACCAAUGGCGAAGGCGACUUUCUGGCCUGUAACUGACACUGAGGCGCGAAAGCGUGGGGAGCAAACAGGAUUAGAUACCCUGGUAGUCCACGCCGUAAACGAUGAGUGCUAAGUGUUGGGGGGUUUCCGCCCCUCAGUGCUGCAGCUAACGCAUUAAGCACUCCGCCUGGGGAGUACGGUCGCAAAGACUG